rnacentral:rRNA from 1 species
AACGAACGCUGGCGGCAUGCCUAACACAUGCAAGUCGAACGAGACCUUCGGGUCUAGUGGCGCACGGGUGCGUAACGCGUGGGAACCUGCCCUUAGGUUCGGAAUAACUCCCCGAAAGGGGUGCUAAUACCGGAUAAUAUCUUCGGACCAAAGAUUUAUCGCCUUUGGAUGGGCCCGCGUUGGCUUAGCUAGUUGGUAGGGUAAAAGCCUACCAAGGCGACGAUCCAUAGCUGGUCUGAGAGGAUGAUUAGCCACACUGGGACUGAGACACGGCCCAGACUCCUACGGGAGGCAGCAGUGGGGAAUAUUGGACAAUGGGCGGAAGCCUGAUCCAGCAAUGCCGCGUGAGUGAUGAAGGCCUUAGGGUUGUAAAGCUCUUUUACCCGGGAUGAUAAUGACAGUACCGGGAGAAUAAGCUCCGGCUAACUCCGUG